rnacentral:rRNA from 1 species
UAAGGAAUAUUGGUCAAUGGAGGCAACUCUGAACCAGCCAUGCCGCGUGCAGGAAGACGGCCCUCUGGGUUGUAAACUGCUUUUAUUCGGGAAUAAACCUACUUACGUGUAAGUAGCUGAAUGUACCGAAGGAAUAAGGAUCGGCUAACUCCGUGCCAGCAGCCGCGGUAAUACGGAGGAUCCAAGCGUUAUCCGGAUUUAUUGGGUUUAAAGGGUGCGUAGGCGGCCUAUUAAGUCAGGGGUGAAAGACGGUAGCUCAACUAUCGCAGUGCCCUUGAUACUGAUGGGCUUGAGUGGACUAGAGGUAGACGGAAUGUGACAAGUAGCGGUGAAAUGCAUAGAUAUGUCACGGGACACCGAUUGCGAAAGCAGGUUACAAUGGUCUUAUUGACGCUGAGGCACGUAAGCGUGGGGAUCAAACA